AAAUUGAAGAGUUUGAUCAUGGCUCAGAUUGAACGCUGGCGGCAGGCCUAACACAUGCAAGUCGAACGGUAACAGGAAGCAGCUUGCUGCUUUGCUGACGAGUGGCGGACGGGUGAGUAAUGUCUGGGAAACUGCCUGAUGGAGGGGGAUAACUACUGGAAACGGUGGCUAAUACCGCAUAACGUCGCAAGACCAAAGAGGGGGACCUUCGGGCCUCUUGCCAUCAGAUGUGCCCAGAUGGGAUUAGCUUGUUGGUGAGGUAACGGCUCACCAAGGCGACGAUCCCUAGCUGGUCUGAGAGGAUGACCAGCCACACUGGAACUGAGACACGGUCCAGACUCCUACGGGAGGCAGCAGUGGGGAAUAUUGCACAAUGGGCGCAAGCCUGAUGCAGCCAUGCCGCGUGUAUGAAGAAGGCCUUCGGGUUGUAAAGUACUUUCAGCGGGGAGGAAGGUGUUGUGGUUAAUAACCGCAGCAAUUGACGUUACCCGCAGAAGAAGCACCGGCUAACUCCGUGCCAGCAGCCGCGGUAAUACGGAGGGUGCAAGCGUUAAUCGGAAUUACUGGGCGUAAAGCGCACGCAGGCGGUCUGUCAAGUCGGAUGUGAAAUCCCCGGGCUCAACCUGGGAACUGCAUUCGAAACUGGCAGGCUUGAGUCUUGUAGAGGGGGGUAGAAUUCCAGGUGUAGCGGUGAAAUGCGUAGAGAUCUGGAGGAAUACCGGUGGCGAAGGCGGCCCCCUGGACAAAGACUGACGCUCAGGUGCGAAAGCGUGGGGAGCAAACAGGAUUAGAUACCCUGGUAGUCCACGCCGUAAACGAUGUCUACUUGGAGGUUGUGCCCUUGAGGCGUGGCUUCCGGAGCUAACGCGUUAAGUAGACCGCCUGGGGAGUACGGCCGCAAGGUUAAAACUCAAAUGAAUUGACGGGGGCCCGCACAAGCGGUGGAGCAUGUGGUUUAAUUCGAUGCAACGCGAAGAACCUUACCUGGUCUUGACAUCCACAGAACUUUCCAGAGAUGGAUUGGUGCCUUCGGGAACUGUGAGACAGGUGCUGCAUGGCUGUCGUCAGCUCGUGUUGUGAAAUGUUGGGUUAAGUCCCGCAACGAGCGCAACCCUUAUCCUUUGUUGCCAGCGGUUAGGCCGGGAACUCAAAGGAGACUGCCAGUGAUAAACUGGAGGAAGGUGGGGAUGACGUCAAGUCAUCAUGGCCCUUACGACCAGGGCUACACACGUGCUACAAUGGCGCAUACAAAGAGAAGCGACCUCGCGAGAGCAAGCGGACCUCAUAAAGUGCGUCGUAGUCCGGAUUGGAGUCUGCAACUCGACUCCAUGAAGUCGGAAUCGCUAGUAAUCGUGGAUCAGAAUGCCACGGUGAAUACGUUCCCGGGCCUUGUACACACCGCCCGUCACACCAUGGGAGUGGGUUGCAAAAGAAGUAGGUAGCUUAACCUUCGGGAGGGCGCUUACCACUUUGUGAUUCAUGACUGGGGUGAAGUCGUAACAAGGUAACCGUAGGGGAACCUGCGGUUGGAUCACCUCCUUACCUUAAAGAAGC
rnacentral:rRNA from 5 species